CGGAGGGAUUGGAGAGAAGGGAAAGGGAAGGAUUGGAGAGGGGUUUUGAUGGGGGUUUUGAAGAUGGUUUUGUUUAGUUUAGUUUUCUGUUUGGAGUUUAUUUUGAGGUGUUUGUGGGUUCCUGAUCGAAAGACAGUAAUCUCCGGCGGUGAUGGGAUGGAGCUGUGGCCGAGAAAGGUUGCUACCGCUAGGUUUUUGAUUGAAGACAUGAAAGUGGUGAAAAAGGCAGUUGCUAAUGCGACCAUUAAUGACGUCCUUUUUGGGGUGAUAUCAGCUGGAUUAUCAACAUACUUGGAUCAUCGAUCACCAAAUACUCUAAAAGAGGGCCAGC
rnacentral:misc_RNA from 1 species